GGAGAGGUGCCAGAGUGGUUGAACGGACUGGUCUUGAAAACCAGCAUGGCUGCAAAGUCAUCGUGGGUUCGAAUCCCACCCUCUCCG
rnacentral:tRNA from 1 species